AUGUUUUUGGUCAGGGGAUGAGUAUCAACCUUUUGUAACAACGAAAGCCAGUCUAUUCAGCGUCUGAUGUUAACAAUACCAAUAGACAGGGAAAUUAUGGUUUAUGUCAGAAUUGCUUAUUUGAUAGCUAAUCUACUUCAUGAAAGGUAAGUACUCUUACGUAUUGAGCCAAAGGUGAUGAACACAACCAACAUCUAUCCGAAAUUAGUUGAAGGUGAACAUAAUCAGCUCUUAUCUGUCAGUUUAAUUACAUAAAGUUGUCACUUAAAAUCCUUGCAUACUGUCAUAUGCCAGGUCGCUUAUUUCUGAAAGCAAUUUCUCCACCAUAGAUUGGCCAUUGUUAAUUGUCUCUAGCGAAAAUAGGAAGAAUUAUGAAGAUUUUGAGUCGCCGUCAUUCUCUAAAAAUGGGAAGGUGAGAAGACGAAGGUGAAACAGGUUAGACUUUUAUUUACAUUUUUUAGCCCAAACAAAUAUUUUAUAAGCCCACAAUCGAAGGCCAUCAGAUACUCGGGAUUAAAUAAACCGGUGAGUUUCAGUGGAUCGUGACACGUCUCGAACGUACGUGAGCCGGCUUAUUGACGUGGAAAAUGACGUUGACCGCCUACGAGUGAAACAAAUUGUACUUUAUAUAUAUAGAUAUAACUGAGAGUAUUGAUUAUCUAUCAAAUUUGUAAUCAUCAAUCAAAUUAUGAGAAAAUAAUCACUGAAAUGUUAUUUUUAAGGGACUACGGAAAACUUAACUAUAAAAUUGAAAGUGGAUUCAUGAGGGAAAUAUUAU